rnacentral:rRNA from 1 species
GAUGAACGCUGGCGGCGUGCCUAAUACAUGCAAGUCGAGCGAACAGACGAGGAGCUUGCUCCUUUGACGUUAGCGGCGGACGGGUGAGUAACACGUGGAUAACCUACCUAUAAGACUGGGAUAACUUCGGGAAACCGGAGCUAAUACCGGAUAACAUGUUGAACCGCAUGGUUCAACAGUGAAAGACGGUCUUGCUGUCACUUAUAGAUGGAUCCGCGCCGCAUUAGCUAGUUGGUAAGGUAACGGCUUACCAAGGCAACGAUGCGUAGCCGACCUGAGAGGGUGAUCGGCCACACUGGAACGGAGACACGGUCCAGACUACUACGGGAGGCAGCAGUAGGGAAUCUUCCGCAAUGGGCGAAAGCCUGACGGAGCAACGCCGCGUGAGUGAAGAAGGUCUUCGGAUCGUAAAACUCUGUUAUUAGGGAAGAACAAAUGUGUAAGUAACUAUGCACGUCUUGACGGUACCUAAUCAGAAAGCCACGGCUAACUACGUG